rnacentral:rRNA from 1 species
AUGGCUGGUGGAGGAAAAUCAUUGAAACAUCCCAAGGUGCCAACGAAAAAUCAAGAAUCUGAAUCCGAGGAAAUGGAGGAGGAAAUUCCAUCCGCCAACACCCAAUCUGAUGAUGAUGCGAUCACUAACGCACUUACCAUAUUCUUUGAUCGGAAUCCCAAGAAAGGUGGCCAUCAUAGAGAGAAAAACACUAUUGCUGAGAUGUCUGAGCCUGAUGGUUACAGAACCCCUCCGGGAGAAGAAUCAACACUUGAUCACAACAAUGGGCUGCAAAGGAUAUGCCGCCACUGGGCGAGCAAAUGGUUCAGAUAUGAAAAUGUUCGCAAGAAGUUUCUAAUUCUAUUUGCCUUCAAUCCACAUUGGAAUGUUUGUAUAGCUAAGAAUUGCAUUGGCCAGAAUGAUGAAAAAGUCAGGAUGCCGCCUCCUGCAGAUGCUCAGCGUGACUCCCUCAAAACCAUCGAGGAUUUCCCCGAGGAAGUUGCCAAGAGGGCAAAGGCUAAAGCAAAACAUGAAGCCAAAGAAGUGAAGAAAAAGCAAGUUGAAGCUAAAAAUGUCAAACUCGCAAAAGAGGAUGUGUUGAAGAAAGAGCAAGCAUCUGCUUCCAAGGGAAGCAAGUCCAAGAAGUCAGUUCCUCCUCGCGCUCCUCGAAAGAAAACCACCACCAAGAGAAGAAGAAAGGUUGUUUCUGACUCGUCUGAUGAAGAAAUGGGUGAUGAAAUCGCCAUAUAUGACCAGCUUUCCGUUCUAGAUAAUCCAACACAAACUCCUUCACCAGUGAAUGUUUUUCUCUCUCCAAGGAGACCACCAAGGCAUGAACCCAUGCCUAUAGCUAGAAAACCUUUGGUUUCAAUCCCUCCAACUUCUUCGAAGAGCACUACAAAGAGAAAACUGCAUGCCGAAGAAGAUGCAUCAGCCAAGAAGGCCAAGCACAUUGUUCCUGCUGCCACAGAGGAAAAAUAUGACUUUAAGAGGAUGACUGGCAUCAUUGACAGUGCCGCAUAUGAUGCACAAACUGAUUAUGUGAGUAGUUUGGGUCUGCCAGAAGAUGUCACUGAAAUAGUGAUAGAGCAUUUUCGUCAACUGAAGAAUAAUCUCUAG